UUUAUUCCCUGCUUUAUUUUGCUCGUUUUAUUUCUGUAUGCAGAUACAUACUGUUGCCGUUGGGGCUGCUAUAGGUCAUGCAUGCCUCUUGCUUGCUGCAGGAACCAAGGGCAAACGGUUUAUGAUGCCGCAUGCCAAAGCCAUGAUCCAACAGCCUCGUGUCCCAUCAUCUGGGUUAAUGCCAGCCAGUGAUGUUCUCAUCCGUGCAAAGGAGGUUAGUCAAAAUCAUUUGGUUGCUUUCUGGUUUUCAAAUGUGAACUGCAGUGUAAGUUUUAUGGCAAAUUUAGCCCAUUGCCUAAAGUAGUUUAUUCUUAUGAUCUGUUUAAAAGAGUUGUUCCUACCUACAUGUCCAAACCAAAACCAAAGUAUUGUGUACCAAUCAAUUGGGGUUGGCGACAUGAAUUUCGUCAUUUGCUCCCUUGAAGUCUAUAUGCUUAGUUAAAUUAAAUAAAUUCAUCUCGUCUCUUACUACAACUCCAUGUCAGUUUUGGUCUUCCCCUCUUGCAAAUAUUUCCAUUAAGAGUGACCAUAUCACAAAAACUUAUGUGAGGCACCUAAACACUAAACUUCUAGGCAAGGUCACAGAUGAACAACAUGCUAUAGUGAAGCAUUAAGGAAAAAAGUAUCUAGAAAGUACUCUUGAAA